rnacentral:rRNA from 1 species
UGCAGUCGANGAGANNCACACCGUUCGUAAGANCAGUGUGGGGACAGUGNNNNNNGGGUGCGUAACACGUGAGGAACCUGCCCUGAAGACCGGGAUAGCCCAGGGAAACUUGGAUUAAUACCGGAUACCUUCACCGGACCGCAUGGCCUGGUGAAGAAAUGGUCUGCCGCUUCAGGAUGGCCUCGCGGCCUAUCAGCUUGUUGGUGAGGUAACGGCUCACCAAGGCAACGACGGGUAGCUGGUCUGAGAGGACGAUCAGCCACACUGGGACUGAGACACGGCCCAGACUCCUACGGGAGGCAGCAGCAGGGAAUAUUGCACAAUGGGCGAAAGCCUGAUGCAGCGACGCCGCGUGCGGNAUGAAGGCCUUCGGGUUGUAAACCGCUUUCAGGAGGGACGAAAAUGACGGUACCUCCAGAAGAAGCCCCGGCCAACCACGUGCCAGCAGCCGCGGUAACACGUAGGGGGCGAGCGUUGUCCGGAUUUAUUGGGCGUAAAGGGCUCGUAGGCGGCUUGNAAAGUCGGCCGUGAAAACCCGGGGCUCAACCCCGGGACGCCGGUCGAAACUUCCAUGGCUAGUGUCCGGUAGAGGUGAGUGGAAUUCUCGGUGUAGCGNNGAAAUGCGCAGAUNUCGAGAGGAACACCANNNNCGAAGGCNGNUCACUG